AAUAAAAAAAAACCCUCAAACACUCACAUUUGUGAGUGUCUGAGUUCGACCAGAAUGCCAGGGGCGACCAAGGGGAAGAACUCCAAACCUAGUUCUUGUUUAAAUCCACAAAUUGAAGGUCAAGAUCAGCCCUAAAACGAGAUCUGAACCCGGAUUAGUGAUCCCCAUUGAAAGGGGAGUCACAAGUUGACUCUAAACAAGCUAGGUGGGAGCUUGAAAAGGAACGGGUCAAACGGAUCAUGGAUGCGAAGAAUGUUUGCGCGGACGCGAGGUACAUUUUGGAUGCCGGAAGACGAUCAAGCUCGACGAAGGACCGAACACGAUAUAGAUACAUGCUUCCGCACUUUAACACAUUGCAAAUUUUAAACAACGAAUUCAACCACGUUAUGUAGAAUAACUUAUGAAUUGUAAAAGUUUUAAUAAAUUCGUAUUUUUAUAGUAUGUGUAGGCUU